rnacentral:rRNA from 1 species
GGCUGCAACUCGCCUACAUGAAGUCGGAAUUGCUAGUAAUCGCGGAUCAGCAUGCCGCGGUGAAUACGUUCCCGGGCCUUGUACACACCGCCCGUCACACCAUGAGAGCCGGUAACACCCGAAGUCAGUAGCCUAACCGCAAGGGGGGCGCUGCCGAAGGUGGGAUUGGUAAUUGGGGUGAAGUCGUAACAAGGUAUC